UGGAGCCAGGGACCAGGUCAGACAUGCUGAAUCUUUCCCGAUGUGGCAUUUGGUAUAACCCAGUUUGAAGACAUCCAGGUUCACAGGCUGAGUGUGUACUACACUGGAUGUGCUCCAAUGCCUGGUCAACCAUCAUUCCAUUCUCCUCAGAAGUACCUAGUGUGUCCUCAACUAAUGAAAGGAAGAAAAUGAUCAUAAACUUCAAUCUCAAUAAAGAAGAGAAGUUACUAAUAUCAGACAUUGGAUUACAGCUUUUGACAAAUGCUACUAAAAAUGCAAGUCAAACAUU